rnacentral:rRNA from 4 species
UGUGUGUUAGUGGAAGCGUCUGGAAAGGCGCGCGAUACAGGGUGACAGCCCCGUACACAAAAAUGCACAUGCUGUGAGCUCGAUGAGUAGGGCGGGACACGUGGUAUCCUGUCUGAAUAUGGGGGGACCAUCCUCCAAGGCUAAAUACUCCUGACUGACCGAUAGUGAACCAGUACCGUGAGGGAAAGGCGAAAAGAACCCCGGCGAGGGGAGUGAAAAAGAACCUGAAACCGUGUACGUACAAGCAGUGGGAGCACGCUUAGGCGUGUGACUGCGUACCUUUUGUAUAAUGGGUCAGCGACUUAUAUUCUGUAGCAAGGUUAACCGAAUAGGGGAGCCGAAGGGAAACCGAGUCUUAACUGGGCGUUAAGUUGCAGGGUAUAGACCCGAAACCCGGUGAUCUAGCCAUGGGCAGGUUGAAGGUUGGGUAACACUAACUGGAGGACCGAACCGACUAAUGUUGAAAAAUUAGCGGAUGACUUGUGGCUGGGGGUGAAAGGCCAAUCAAACCGGGAGAUAGCUGGUUCUCCCCGAAAGCUAUUUAGGUAGCGCCUCGUGAAUUCAUCUCCGGGGGUAGAGCACUGUUUCGGCAAGGGGGUCAUCCCGACUUACCAACCCGAUGCAAACUGCGAAUACCGGAGAAUGUUAUCACGGGAGACACACGGCGGGUGCUAACGUCCGUCGUGAAGAGGGAAACAACCCAGACCGCCAGCUAAGGUCCCAAAGUCAUGGUUAAGUGGGAAACGAUGUGGGAAGGCCCAGACAGCCAGGAUGUUGGCUUAGAAGCAGCCAUCAUUUAAAGAAAGCGUAAUAGCUCACUGGUCGAGUCGGCCUGCGCGGAAGAUGUAACGGGGCUAAACCAUGCAC